rnacentral:rRNA from 1 species
AUUGAACGCUGGCGGCAUGCUUUACACAUGCAAGUCGAGCGGCAGCGCGGGCUUCGGCCUGGCGGCGAGUGGCGAACGGGUGAGUAAUGCAUCGGAACGUGCCCAGUAGUGGGGGAUAGCCCGGCGAAAGCCGGAUUAAUACCGCAUACGACCUGAGGGUGAAAGCGGGGGAGCGAAAGGCCUCGCGCUAUUGGAGCGGCCGAUGUCGGAUUAGCUAGUUGGUGGGGUAAAGGCUUACCAAGGCGACGAUCCGUAGCUGGUCUGAGAGGACGACCAGCCACACUGGGACUGAGACACGGCCCAGACUCCUACGGGAGGCAGCAGUGGGGAAUUUUAGACAAUGGGGGCAACCCUGAUCCAGCCAUGCCGCGUGCGGGAAGAAGGCCUUCGGGUUGUAAACCGCUUUUGUUCGGGAAGAAAUCCUCUGGGCUAAUACCCCGGGGGGAUGACGGUACCGGAAGAAUAAGCACCGGCUAACUACGUG